GAUGAAGAACGCAGCGAAAUGCGAUACGUAGUGUGAAUUGCAGAAUUCAGUGAAUCAUCGAAUCUUUGAACGCACAUUGCACCUCUCGGUAUUCCGGGAGGUAUGCCUGUUCGAGCGUCAUUUGUACCCUCAAGCUCUGCUUGGUGUUGGGUGUUUGUUCCACCUCUGUGUGUGAACUCGCCUCAAAACAAUUGGCAGCCGGCGUACUUGUUUCGGAGCGCAGCACAUUUUGCGAUCCAGAUCAACGUACAGCGGCAUCCAAGAAGCCUUAUUUAACGCUCUUGACCUCGGAUCAGGUAGGGAUACCCGCUGAACUUAAGCAUAUCAUAAGCGGAGGA
rnacentral:misc_RNA from 1 species